rnacentral:lncRNA from 1 species
UUCAAGCCUUCAAUUAAUCAUGUGUACAUUAGUGGCAUGUAACUCGGUGGAGUCCAGUAGUCAAUAAAGUUGCUAAAUUUAGUAAUUGCAGGAUUAUAUAGUCUCCCUUAAUCUUUCUGAUGUAUAGUUUAAGUUUCAAAAAAAAGAGAAAAGAGAAAAUUGAAAAUAUCAAAAAAGGGAGUAGACAAGCAAAAAAUCCCGUCUUAGAGAUAAAAAUAAAAGAAAAUGAAAAAGAAGUUGUAGUAGAUUAUUUGAAUAAACGAGCAGACAAGCU